UACGUAGGGUGCGAGCGUUGCCCGGAUUUAUUGGGCGUAAAGGGCGCGUAGGCGGUCACGCACGUCCGUUGUGAAAUCGCUCGGCUCAACUGGGCGGGGUCAGCGGAUACGGCGUGGCUGGAGCAAGCUAGGGGGCAAUGGAAUUCCCGGUGUAGUGGUGGAAUGCGUAGAUAUCGGGAGGAACACCAGUGGCGAAGGCGGUUGCCUGGAGCUUUGCUGACGCUGAUGCGCGAAAGCUAGGGGAGCGAACGGG
rnacentral:rRNA from 1 species